rnacentral:rRNA from 1 species
AACGAACGCUGGCGGCAUGCCUAACACAUGCAAGUCGAACGAAGUCUUCGGACUUAGUGGCGCACGGGUGCGUAACGCGUGGGAAUCUGCCCUUGGGUGCGGAAUAACUUCUCGAAAGGGAUGCUAAUACCGCAUAAUGUCGUAAGACCAAAGAUUUAUCGCCCAAGGAUGAGCCCGCGUAAGAUUAGCUAGUUGGUGGGGUAAAAGCCUACCAAGGCGACGAUCUUUAGCUGGUCUGAGAGGAUGAUCAGCCACACUGGGACUGAGACACGGCCCAGACUCCUACGGGAGGCAGCAGUGGGGAAUAUUGGACAAUGGGCGAAAGCCUGAUCCAGCAAUGCCGCGUGAGUGAUGAAGGCCCUAGGGUUGUAAAGCUCUUUUACCUAGGGAUGAUAAUGACAGUACCUGGAGAAUAAGCUCCGGCUAACUUCGUGCCAGCAGCCGCGGUAAU